rnacentral:rRNA from 1 species
GAUGAACGCUAGCUACAGGCUUAACACAUGCAAGUCGAGGGACCGGCGCACGGGUGAUUAACAGGUACCCAACCUGCCCUUUACUCGGGGAUAGCCUUUCGAAAGCAAGAUUCAUACCCGAUCUACAGGAUGGGGAUGCGUUCCAUUAGGUUGUUGUUGAGGGACCGGCCGACCAAGCCUUGGAUGGAGAGGGGUUCUGAGAGGAAGGUCCCCCACAUUGGAACUGAGGCACAGUCCAAACUCCGACGGGGGGCAGCGGUAAGGAAUAUUGGUGAAGGGGCGCUGGCCUGAACCAGCCAAGUAGCGUGAAGGAGGAUUGCUUAUGGGUCGUAAACUUCCUGUAUAUAAGAAUCUGUAUUAUAUGAAUAAGGAUCGGCUAACUCCGUGCCAGCAGCCGCGGUAAUUC